CCUACGGGAGGCAGCAGUGAGGAAUAUUGGUCAAUGGGCUUACGCCUGAACCAGCCAAGUCGCGUGAGGGAAGACUGCCCUAUGGGUUGUAAACCUCUUUUGUCAGGGAGCAAUUGGCGCUACGUGUAGCGUUAUCGAGAGUACCUGAAGAAAAAGCAUCGGCUAACUCCGUGCAAGCAGCCGCGGUAAUACGGAGGAUGCGAGCGUUAUACGGAUUUAUUGGGUUUAAAGGGUGCGUAGGCGGAAUGCCAAGUCAGCGGGAAAAGCGCGGGGCUCAACCUCGCUCCGCCGUUGAAACUGGCGUUCUUGAGUGGGCGAGAAGUAUGCGGAAUGCGUGGUGUAGCGGUGACAUGCAUAGAUAUCACGCAGAACUCCGAUUGCGAAGGCAGCAUACCGGCGCCCAACUGACGCUGAAGCACGAAAGCGUGGGUAUCGAACAGGAUUAGAUACCCUAGUAGUC
rnacentral:rRNA from 1 species